GACGAACGCUGGCGGCGUGCCUAAUACAUGCAAGUUGAGCGCUGAAGGUUUGUACUUGUACCGACUGGAUGAGCAGCGAACGGGUGAGUAACGCGUGGGGAAUCUGCCUUUUAGCGGGGUACAACAUUUGGAAACGAAUGCUAAUACCGCAUAAAAACUUUAAACACAAGUUUUAAGUUUGAAAUAUGCAAUUGCAUCACUCAAAGAUGAUCCCGCGUUGUAUUAGCUAGUUGGUGAGGUAAAGGCUCACCAAGGCGAUGAUACAUAGGCGACCUGGGAGGGAGAUCGGCCAAAAUGGGAAUGAGAAAAGGCACAAAAGGAUACGGGAGGCAGCAGGAGGGAAACAGCGGCAAUGGAGGAAAGACAGAACGAGCAACGCCGAGUGAGUGAAGAAGGAUUUCGGAUCGGAAAACUCUGUUGGUAGAGAAGAAAGUUGGUGAGAGUGGAAAGAUCAUCAAGUGACGGUAACUACCCAGAAAGGGACGGCUAACUACGUG
rnacentral:rRNA from 1 species